ensembl:misc_RNA 7SK 7SK RNA
UGUAGGGAAAUUCUGGUUAUACAACAUCUACUAUCCCACUGAUUACCAGGGUUCAGUUUGACGAUCAGGCUGGCCAGGUAGAUGUUCCUGUCCUCCUUGACCAUGUAAUGAAUAUUGUUGCAGAAGCUAUGCAUUGAAGAUGAUUAGUUUCCCAUGUACAGAAGGAACUUUAUUUGGUUCAGUGCUUUGGAGUAUUCAUGCUUCCCACCAGGACCCUCAGACAAGUUCCCCACACCCUUUUGUUUAGAAUAUAAGUAAGACCCCCAGACAAGUUCCCCACACCCUUUUGUUCAGAAUAUAAAUAAGG